AUACGUAGGGUGCAAGCGUUAAUCGGAAUUACUGGGCGUAAAGCGUGCGCAGGCGGUUUUGUAAGACAGUGGUGAAAUCCCCGGGCUCAACCUGGGAACUGCCAUUGUGACUGCAAGGCUGGAGUGCGGCAGAGGGGGAUGGAAUUACGAGGUUAGCAGUGGAAUGCGUAGAUAUGCGGAGGAACACCGAUGGCGAAGGCAAUCCCCUGGGCCUGCACUGACGCUCAUGCACGAAAGCGUGGGGAGCAAACAGGAUUAGAUACCCUGGUAGUCCACGCCCUAAACGAUGUCAACUGGUUGUUGGGGAUUUAUUUUCUCAGUAACGAAGCUAACGCGUGAAGUUGACCGCCUGGGGAGUACGGCCGCAAGGUUAAAACUCAAAUGAAUUGGCGGGG
rnacentral:rRNA from 1 species